CAAUAUUUUUGCUCAUUCUGAGUGGCCACGUGAUCAGUCAGACAGUUAUGUAUCACAGUGUGAUCAUACGUACUCUAUAAAUACCAUCUGACUAGAGGCUGGGGAGAGCACAGUCAGUAAAGAGCUUUCUGAACAAGCAUGAGAGCCUGGAUUCUAGCUCCUGCAAGCAUGUUUAGGGAUGGCUCAUGGGUUAAGAGCAUUGGCUGAUUUCGGAAGAACCCUGGUAAGAUUCCCAGCACCCACAAGAUGGCUAACAAACAUCUGUAACUCCAAUUCCCAGGCAUUCACUGCCCUCUUCUGGCCUCCACAGACACUGCACUUGUGGCACACAGGAGCAGGGUUAUUUACUGGAGCAGAUGACUCAAAGGCAGGAACGUCUUCAAAAAGUUCACCCCAGCAUAAAUGAGGACUCAUGCAAUCUCUAUACUGGAGCUCUACAUGACUUAGAGGCAGCUGGACACUCCGGAGACUCUCCUCUCACCAGCUGGGAUGCUGAGAGUGACGAUGAACAGUCUGCUUUAGAACUGCUGCUUGCGGGCUGGAGAGAUGGCUCAGUGGUUAAGAGCACUGACUGCUCUUCCCGAGGUCCUGAGUUCAAAUCCCAGCAACCACAUGGUGGCUCACAACCAUCUGUAGUGGGAUCCAGUGCCCUCUUCUGAUGUGUCUGAAGACAGCGACAGUGUAUUCAUACAUAAAAUAAAU
ensembl:lncRNA LOC120095169 uncharacterized LOC120095169